CCGGGAUUGAUUUCUUUUGGAAUCAUCUCCAUGACCCUUUUUGUUUAUUCAAAAAUGUCUUUUCUUCGGCAAGACGUCUGAUUCGAAAGGAUUGGCCAUUGGUGCUUCUAAAGUACGAAUGUGUUUGCUUGCCGAAGUCUUUACUCUUUUUUCUUGAAGUCUGAGUAUACAAACAAAUAAAUUA
rnacentral:misc_RNA from 1 species